ACCAGGAUGGCUGAGUGGUUAAGGCGUUGGACUUAAGAUCCAAUAGACGUAGUCUUCGUGGGUUCGAACCCCACUCCUGGUA